ACGGAAGGCAGCAGUGGGGAAUAUUGGACAAUGGAGGCAACUCUGAUCCAGCGACGCCGCGUGAGUGAAGAAGUAUUUCGGUAUGUAAAGCUCUAUCAGCAGGGAAGAUGAUGACGGUACCUGACUAAGAAGCACCGGCUAAAUACGUGCCAGCAGCCGCGGUAAUACGUAUGGUGCAAGCGUUAUCCGGAUUUACUGGGUGUAAAGGGAGCGUAGGCGGUUUUAUAAGUCUGAAGUGAAAGCCCGGGGCUCAACCCCGGGACUGCUUUGGAAACUGUAGAACUAGAGUGUCGGAAGGGUAAGUGGAAUUCCUAGUGUAGCGGUGAAAUGCGUAGAUAUUAGGAGGAACACCAGUGGCGAAGGCGGCUUACUGGACGAUUACUGACGCUGAGGCUCGAAAGCGUGGGGAGCAAACAGGAUUAGAUACCCUGGUA
rnacentral:rRNA from 1 species